GACAGAGGCCCCGAGCGUUAGGCGGAAUCACUGGGCGUAAAGGGUGCGUAGGCGGGUCUUUAAGUCAGGGGUGAAAUCCUGGAGCUCAACUCCAGAACUGCCUUUGAUACUGAAGAUCUUGAGUUCGGGAGAGGUGAGUGGAACUGCGAGUGUAGAGGUGAAAUUCGUAGAUAUUCGCAAGAACACCAGUGGCGAAGGCGGCUCACUGGCCCGAUACUGACGCUGAGGCACGAAAGCGUGGGGAGCAAACAGG
rnacentral:rRNA from 1 species